CGGCGGACGGGGCAGGGCAGAGCAGAGGCUGCCCUCUCGGCUGGGGAAAUCCUUUCCGGAUCCUAGUGAAGACUUGUACAGAGAAAAUUCACUGUAUAAACAUCCUGCCAAGAAAGGAAGGUUCACCCUUACUCCAUCUACAGGAUCUCUUUCUCCAGUAGUGACUGCUCAGGGUCCUUCCCAGGACAGAACAAUUGAGGAUGGACUUUUGGUGGGUAGUAUGACUGGCAGAGAGGACGUGAAGUCAGUGCCCCAGAGCUCAAGUGUAUCCUGUUCGCAACUUGUAUCAGGAGUGAUCCUUCCAGCCCCUGGAAGAUUUUGUGUCCUCCAGGAAUGUGAAGAAGUGGGGAGUCCAAGAGGGACACUUGAAAGAUUUCUCCAGCAAGAAAAGAUGGGAAAAUGGCAGCUGAACAAAACAUCUUCUUUUAACAAAGCAGCAAAGCAGUAGUAUAGGACCAGAGAUGGAAGUCCUUCUGCUGUAAAUCCACAUCAAUUCAACUAAGACCAAGCACUUGUGAAUAUUAAAUUCACAAUAGUGUGGAGGAGAGUAGAAAUGGCCUUUCUUUUUGAAACUCUUGGAGUCCGAAGUGAAAAAAAGUAGCAGGGUUUAACCUUUAAACUUUUCACUGACCUUUAAACAGUACUUUGGAUUAUAUGUGCCCUUGUUAAUCUGAAGCCACUUGCAAACAUAACUGGCAUUCCUUUUUUUAAGUAUACCUUACAUGCACUAUUGAAUGGGUUAAGCAUUUCAAAAGUUUGGCUCUUGUUCAUUAUGUCUUUAUCACCUUUUUAAGUGGUGUUUAUCCUUGUCAACAAAAUUUUAUAGUUAGCAGCAACACAAGCAAUGAUUUGUGUCGAAGUACAUUACUUAGGCGGUGGCCAGAUGUAGAUCUAAAUUCUUUGAGGUGCAAACCCAGGUGUUGAUCAAGGCACUAAAUUUUGCAGAAUUCCUGUAUUAAUGUAGAGCUCUAUGAGUACCAGAUAUUUUAAUAUCACUUUCCAUCACAGAUGAGUAGAAAAUCUUCCACUAGCAUCUAAUCAGACCAUUAUUUUUUUCCUCUUCAGCUUUUCUUUCUUUCACACUAUUCACGUCACUGCUUUGCAUGUACUUUUCCCGCACAUACCCUCCCCAUACAUAUCUUCACUUUGGCCUAUUAAGUCCAAACUACAGGUACAAAUUAUAGAAUAUCAACAAAAAAAUUAUCUUGGACAAAAUUUCAUUGUUCUCAUACUCUAGGGAGUUUAAUUAACACUAGAAACUUCUACUGCUUGGUAUAAAUAAAAGAGUCUAAAAUAGGUGAUUGUAAUUUCCCCUUUUCACUCACACAAUUAUUGAAAAAUGUCUUGCCAUUCUCAUGGAAAUUUGUAUUCUAAGUACAUCUGUCUUUAGCAGAAAAGUGUCAUGGGCAGAGCACAAAUUUAUGAGAGGAUGUAUAUGUAUAAGAACUAACUGCUAUACCAUACUCUAUGUCCAUCAUUUGGAUCAAGAAUUUUCCUACUGGAAUGCUACCGUAACAGACACACUCAUGUACUGUCCCUUACAUUCAAGCUACUCUUCAAACACAUAAAUACUGGGCUUAG